rnacentral:rRNA from 1 species
UACGGAAGGCAGCAGUGGGGAAUAUUGCACAAUGGGCGAAAGCCUGAUGCAGCUAUGCCGCGUGUAUGAAGAAGGCCUUAGGGUUGUAAAGUACUUUCAUCGGGGAGGAAAAAACAAAACUAAUAAUUUUAUUUCUUGACGUUACCCGAAAAAGAAGCACCGGCUAACUCCGUGCCAGCAGCCGCGGUAAUACGGAGGGUGCUAGCGUUAAUCAGAAUUACUGGGCGUAAAGAGCACGUAGGUGGUUUUUUUAAAGUCAGAUGUGAAAUCCCUGGGCUUAACCUAGGAACUGCAUUUGAAACUGAAAUACUAGAGUAUCGUAGAGGGAGGUAGAAUUCUAGGUGUAGCGGUGAAAUGCGUAGAUAUCUGGAGGAAUACCUGUGGCGAAAGCGGCCUCCUAAACGAAUACUGACACUGAGGUGCG